rnacentral:RNase_P_RNA from 1 species
GUAGCUAGUUAGACGGUUGAAUUCGCAAGAAUUAGGAAAGUCCGAGCACAGUAGGGCAAUGGUGCAAGAUAACGUCUUGUGGAGGCGACUCCAAGGAUAGUGCAACAGAAAUAAACCGCCACUAACAUCUGCUUUUGUGUUUUUUUGAUAUUUAUAUCAUACCUCCUAUUUUUUCACAUUAGUACAUUUAGUGGUAAGGAUGGAAAGGUGGCUCAAGAGACCACCGGUAUUGCGGAGACGUGAUACGCUAUGUAAACCCCACCUUGUGCAAGAUAAGGGAGUUAAUAGAGUUGCCCGCUCUAUCCCGACAUACAUCGCUUGAGCUUGUUAGCAAUAGCAAGCCUAGAUAGAUGACCGUCCUAGACAGAACUCGGCUUAUAGACUAGGCUACAUUA